GGGAACAUGGUGAAAUGGUAGACACAACAGACUUAAAAUCUGUAGGCUUAUAACGGCCGUGAGGGUUCAAGUCCCUCUGUUCCCA
rnacentral:tRNA from 1 species